rfam:Ectocarpus siliculosus strain Ec 32, whole genome shotgun sequence assembly, chromosome LG08
UGCCCGGCGGCUUUAGCCGCCACCCAUUUAAAAAGAGAAAAAUGC